CACACACACACACACAUAUUUCAGCUUCUGUGGUUCAAUUUUUGUGCAGCUUAUGUCGUUUUCAUCAUCAGCGGCACCGACAGAAACCACGUCAUCUCGUCACAAGACGGGAAAACUAUCUCAGUUUGGGUUUUAGUGGAUAGUAGAACGUUUUUCUUUUUUUCAACAAGAAUGAAAACUUAUGCAAAACUUUACAAAAGUACCACUCAAAUCCAUAAUAAAAGAUAAUCUCCAACAUACCUUGAAUGCCCUGAAACUUGGAAUGUAAAUCACAUUCAUCAUUCUUUUAAUUUUAUUUAUUUAGCCCAGAAUCGCCAAUCACAGAUUUGCCUUCACCCUUGUGUUGUCUUCGGGGUCAAAAAUGACCCGCCACUGUGUUUAACAGCAGAGGAAACCACCUUCAUGAUCUUUUUUCAACUUGAAAUUUGAUGAUUUUUCCUAGAAUGACCCCAACAUGAGAAAAAGUAAAAAAAAUUGCCUUUGGGCCAUUUUUAAACCAAGGGCUAUAAAAUAAUUUUCAUAACACAAAAACC